rnacentral:rRNA from 1 species
AUAAGCGGAGGAAAAGAAACUAACAAGGAUUCCCCUAGUAACUGCGAGUGAAGCGGGAAAAGCUCAAAUUUAAAAUCUGGCGGUCUUCUGGCCGUCCGAGUUGUAGUCUGGAGAAGCGUUUUCCGCGUUGGACCGUGUACAAGUUUCCUGGAACGGAGCGUCAUAGAGGGUGAGAAUCCCGUCUUUGACACGGAUCCCAAUGCUUUGUGAUGCGCUCUCAAAGAGUCGAGUUGUUUGGGAAUGCAGCUCAAAAUGGGUGGUGAAUUCCAUCUAAAGCUAAAUAUUGGCGAGAGACCGAUAGCGAACAAGUACCGUGAGGGAAAGAUGAAAAGCACUUUGGAAAGAGAGUUAAACAGUACGUGAAAUUGUUGAAAGGGAAACGCUUGAAGUCAGUCGCGUCGGCCGGGACUCAGCCUUGCAUCCGCUUGGUGUACUUUCCGGUCGACGGGCCAGCAUCAGUUUUGACCGCGAGAUAAAGGCGGAGGGAAUGUGGCUCUCUCGGGAGUGUUAUAGCCCUUCGUCAGAUGUCGCGGUUGGGACUGAGGAACUCAGCACGCCUUUAUGGCCGGGGCUCGCCCACGUACGUGCUUAGGAUGCUGGCGUAAUGGCUUUAAACGACCCGUCUUGAAACACGGACCAAGGAGUCUAACAUGCCUGCGAGUGUUCGGGUGGAAAACCCGUGCGCGCAAUGAAAGUGAAAGUUGGGAUCCCUGUCGUGGGGUGCACCGACGCCCGGCCCAGACCUUUUGUGACGGAGCUGCGGUAGAGCAUGUAUGUUGGGACCCGAAAGAUGGUGAACUAUGCCUGAAUAGGGUGAAGCCAGAGGAAACUCUGGUGGAGGCUCGUAGCGAUUCUGACGUGCAAAUCGAUCGUCAAAUUUGGGUAUAGGGGCGAAAGACUAAUCGAACCAUCUAGUAGCUGGUCCUG